rnacentral:rRNA from 1 species
GACGAACGCUGGCGGCGUGCUUAACACAUGCAAGUCGAACGGAAAGGCCCUGCUUUUGUUGGGUGCUCGAGUGGCGAACGGGUGAGUAACACGUGAGUAACCUGCCCUUGACUUUGGGAUAACUUCAGGAAACUGGGGCUAAUACCGGAUAGGAGCUCCUGCUGCAUGGUGGGGGUUGGAAAGUUUCGGCGGUUGGGGAUGGACUCGCGGCUUAUCAGCUUGUUGGUGGGGUAGUGGCUUACCAAGGCUUUGACGGGUCGCCGGCCUGAGAGGGUGACCGGCCACAUUGGGACUGGGAUACGGCCAAGACUCCUACGGGAGGCAGCGGGGGGGAAUAUUGCACAAUGGGCGGAGGCCUGAUGCGGCAACGCCGGGGGCGGGAUGACGGCCUUCGGGUGGUAAACCGCUUUCGCAUGGGACGAAGCGUGAGUGACGGUAAUGGGUAAAGAAGCACCGGCUAACUACGUG